rnacentral:misc_RNA from 1 species
GUGAAGAACGUAGCGAAAUGCGAUAAGUAAUGUGAAUUGCAGAAUUCAGUGAAUCAUCGAAUCUUUGAACGCACAUUGCGCCCGCCAGUAUUCUGGCGAGCAUGCCUGUUCGAGCGUCAUUUCAACCAUCAAGCCCCAGGCUUGUGUUGGAGCCCUGCGGCUGCCGCAGCCUCCCAAAACCAGUGGCGGGCUCGCUAUCACACCGAGUGCAGUAGUUUACUCUUCGCUCAGGGCGUGUGGCGGGUGCUAGCCGUGAAACCCCCAACUUCUCAAGGUUGACCUCGGAUCAGGUAGGAAUACCCGCUGAACUUAAGCAUAUCAAUAAGCGGAGGA